GAUGAACGCUGGCGGCGUGCCUAAUACAUGCAAGUCGAGCGAACGGACGAGAAGCUUGCUUCUCUGAUGUUAGCGGCGGACGGGUGAGUAACACGUGGAUAACCUACCUAUAAGACUGGGAUAACUUCGGGAAACCGGAGCUAAUACCGGAUAAUAUUUUGAACCGCAUGGUUCAAAAGUGAAAGACGGUCUUGCUGUCACUUAUAGAUGGAUCCGCGCUGCAUUAGCUAGUUGGUAAGGUAACGGCUUACCAAGGCAACGAUGCAUAGCCGACCUGAGAGGGGGAUCGGCGACACUGGAACUGAGACACGGUCCAGACUCCUACGGGAGGAAGCAGUAGGGAAUCUUCCGCAAUGGGCGAAAGCCUGACGGAGCAACGCCGCGUGAGUGAUGAAGGUCUUCGGAUCGUAAAACUCUGUUAUUAGGGAAGAACAUAUGUGUAAGUAACUGUGCACAUCUUGACGGUACCUAAUCAGAAAGCCACGGCUAACUACGUG
rnacentral:rRNA from 1 species